CCUCCCGUGAAAAUGCCCCCCCCCGUCCUCCUCACCCGAGAACAAGGAGUAGGUAUCAGGCACACACCCCCGUAGCCCACGACACCUAGCUUUGCCACGCCCCCAAGGGAACUCAGCAGUGACAAACAUUAAGCCAUGAGCGAAAGCUUGACUUAGUUACAGCCAAGUAGGGCCGGUAAAUACUGGUGCCAGCAACCGCGGUUACACCAGAGGCCCAAGUCGAUAGGAAUCGGCGUAAAGGGUGGUUAAGGGAUGCUACAUAAAUAAAGCCGAACGUUCUCUUAAUGCUGUGAUACGUCUCAAGAACCUGAAGCCCCACCACGAAAGUGGCUUUACCCCGCCCCGAACCCACGAAAGUCAGGGUACAAACUGGGAUUAGAUACCCCACUAUGCCUGACUGUAAACAUUGAUGAGAUCUUACAAACAUUAUCCGCCUGGGAACUACGAGCACUAGCUUAAAACCCCAAGGACUUGGCGGUGCUUUAGACCCCCCUAGAGGAGCCUGUUCUAGAACCGAUACUCCCCGUUCAACCCUACCCUUCCCGGUAAAAUUCUGCCUGUAUACCUCCGUCGCAAGCCCACCCUGUGAAGGACCUAAAGUGGGCCAAACUGGUUGGUUGUACAACCAACCCCCAAUGUCAGGUCGAGGUGCAGCUUAUGGAAGGGAAUGCAAUGGGCUACAUUCGCUGACCCAGCGAAUCACGAAAGACGUACUGAAAGACAUGUCUGAAGGUGGAUUUAGCAGUAAGGAGGGAGUAGAGCGCCCCCCUGAAACUGGCUCUAAAGCGUGCACACAUCGCCCGUCACUCUCCCCGAAUCAGUCUACACCCGUAAUUAACACGCGGACGCUAUCAAGGGGAGGCAAGUCGUAACAUAGUAAGUGUACCGGAAGGUGUACUUGGACAAAU
rnacentral:ncRNA from 1 species